CGUUGUCUCUGACAACUGCCAAUGUUCCGGUGAUUUGAGAGGAACGCUUUCGGGUAAUCACAUGCCAAUGCCAUCACAACCUGAGAGAUGGCGCUUUCGGGCGGUUCAAACCUGUUAACCUUUGAAAACAGGGACCCUGGCGGUUAAGGUCCAU
rnacentral:sRNA from 1 species